CACGGGCCCCUUUGCUGGUUGCCAUCUCUCGGCUUUGUGUGCGGGGAAACAUCUUGAACAAAAUGUCACGGAGAGAGCAUCUCAGCCGUGUCCUGCUGACUGAGGACAUGGGCUGCCGGGUUUGCCAUCUGCCUGCAGCCUCUCCGAGGUAAUUAUAUCAGAGUCUCUCAAGUCCUGGAACAAGGUGGAUGUCAGAUGCACUUUUCUUCCUCUAGGAAGACCCAGUUCCUGCAGUGCUCAGUUCAUCAGACCAUUAAGGACCAUUUCAGACCUGGCUGUAUAGAGCCAUCCAGGAAUCCUCAAAGAAGACUGCCUCUGUGUUCCACUCCAGACUCCAGGAAGAAGGAAGCUGAGUGCCUUACCUGAGGUGAGAGGGCUGAAGCAGGAAGGAUGCUUGUG
rnacentral:lncRNA from 9 species